rnacentral:rRNA from 1 species
ACGCUCGACACCUACGGGAGGCAGCAGUGGGGAAUAUUGCACAAUGGGGGAAACCCUGAUGCAGCGACGCCGCGUGAGCGAAGAAGUAUUUCGGUAUGUAAAGCUCUAUCAGCAGGGAAGAAACUGACGGUACCUGACUAAGAAGCACCGGCUAAAUACGUGCCCACAGCCGCGGUAAUCUGAGCGGGCUGGCAAGGC